CCUUCUAAUCUCAGGACAGUUCUUUUCAGUGGAGAUUUCUGCUGCCUCCUUACAGGAUGACCUUCCCCACCCAGCUGUGGAAAACAGGAGAAUGCAGCGACCUCAGCUGAAAUUCAACCACCACUGAAGCCUAUAGAGAAAAGUGACAGAGAAACUGGGCUCUGGAAGCAUUUUGAGGCAGGCCCAGCUCCCUCUGCGUGGGUGAAGAAUGGAGCAGAGACCCAGGUGUGUUGUCCACGAGAAAGUGCCCAUCACCUUGAGAUGGCUUCACAGUGCCUCGGGAUGCCCUGCUCAUCACAGAGCAUCCUUGCAGGGCACUGUGCUUUCCACAUCCUGACUCAGCUCCCCUGGGACACCCCCUCCACCUUCCUAUACCCAAAUAUCUGUCCUGGAUGAUUUAUGCCUUUUCUGCAGUGUUUUGCUCCCUCUGAUUCUUUCCACCCUCAACCUCUCCCCUCAAAGUCCUCC
rnacentral:lncRNA from 1 species